rfam:Sarcoptes scabiei Contig12661, whole genome shotgun sequence.
CAAACGGUCCUUUUGAGGACCAUAGAUACUAAAUUGACGAUUGAA